UUUGCUUGUGUCGAUAAUUUUUUUUUACUGAUCCCUUGCUCGAAUUUUUUUCUUCCAAAAUUGUUGGCAGGGGCAGUGCUGGUGGACAUAAAAUUUUUUUCAGGACAUAAAAAAAGGGUCAAAAGAAUUUUCCGGACUAACAUCAGUUUAUUUAAUGUUCAAAACACAUUUUCCCUGACAAAUGCUUCUUAAAACAUGCUUAAAACACGUUUUUUGCACCAAUAUCUGCAAUGAUUUAUGUUUAGAAAAUUUUUUCUCACACCAUUACUGAUAUCAAAAAACGUUUUAUUUCCCAAAUUUGGGGGCCACCCUUACACAACUUAUAAUUUUCCCUAUCGAAAAGUCUCUGCACAAAUUUUUUAAAAAUUUUUUUCUUGUUUCCCCUGCUCGAUUUUUAUUUUUGCUUCUCCCCCCCCCCAUUACUUUUCUAAUGGUCCGCCCCUUACAUCGGAGUCGGAGAAGAUUUUAGAACCGACAGAGCUAUCAAGAGGUGCAGUAUCGGUCAUGCAGUUUUACUACAGAAGGAAACCUAAA